CGGCGGGCUUAUUUGCUUAUUGCACCACAUGUGUUGUUCUUUGAAACAGACUUGCUUUGGCGGUGGGCCCAGGCCUGCCGCCAGAGGUCUAAACUUACAACCAAUUUUUUAUCAGCUUGUCACACCAGAUUAUUACUAAUAGUCCAAACUUUCAACAACGGAUCUCUUGGUUCUCGCAUCGAUGAAGAACGCAACGAAAUGCGAUACGUAAUAUGAAUUGCAGAUAUUCGUGAAUCAUCAAAUCUUUGAACGCACAUUGCGCCCUCUGGUAUUCCGGAGGGCAUGCCUGUUUGAGCGUCGUUUCUCCCUCAAACCGCUGGGUUUGGUGUUGAGCAAUACGACUUGGGUUUGCUUGAAAGACGGUAGUGGUAAGGCGGGAUCGCUUUGACAAUGGCUUAGGUCUAACCAAAAACAUUGUUUGCGGCGGUAACGUCCACCACGUAUAUCUUCAAACUUUGACCUCAAAUCAGGUAGGACUACCCGCUGAACUUAAGCAUAUCAAUAAGCGGAGGAAAAGAAACCAACCAUAGGUUAAUGAGGCGAACCGGGGGAACUGAAACAUCUAAGUACCCCGAGGAAAAGAAACCAACCUUAUCAUUAACUGAAUCCAUAGGUUAAUGAGGCGAAACCGGGGGAAACUGAAACAGUCUAAUAACCCCAAGAAAACCAAA
rnacentral:rRNA from 1 species